rnacentral:rRNA from 1 species
CCCUUAGAUGUUCUGGGCUGCACGCGCGCUACACUGAUGCGCUCAACGAGUUUAUGACCUUGCCCGGAAGGGUUGGGUAAUCUUCUUAAAACGCAUCGUGAUGGGGAUAGAUUAUUGCAAUUAUUAAUCUUCAACGAGGAAUUCCUAGUAAACGCAAGUCAUCAACUUGCAUUGAUUACGUCCCUGCCCUUUGUACACACCGCCCGUCGCUACUACCGAUUGAAUGAUUUAGUGAGUACCAGGGACCGAGCGCUUUGGUUGGGUUUCCUUCCCUAGCGCUUGGGAACUGUCGCAAACUUGACCAUUUAGAGGAAGUAAAAGUCGUAACA